GGGUCCGUAGCUCAGUUAGGAUAGAGCGAAUGGCUUCGAACCAUUAGGUCGAGGGUUCAAAUCCCUCCGGACUCG
rnacentral:tRNA from 1 species